AUGUGGUACAUAUGAAAUUUGAAA
rnacentral:miRNA from 1 species